GCGGGUGUGGGCUUUGAAGCGAUUUCGGGUCUGGAUGAUGCUGGAGCGGGGGCGCCAGUGGCAGGUGUGAGACCCAAGGUCGCGGUGGCCAAGGCGGAGGUCCCAGUAUUGUUCUCCGCUCUCGUCUUGUGGCAACGUGGCAGCAGGCCCCGAGGCCAACUGGGUGACAGGGCACCUGUCCUCCCCGAUCUGGGGUCUGCCUCCCUUCCCUUGGGAGUCCCAACAUCUUCAUCACGCAACACGGAGAGUGGGCGGGUGGGAGAUUGAAAACCUCCUGCUGCAGGCACCAGCAGGAGUUGUAGCGGUGCCGGUGUAGCAGGGCUGCACUUUGUGCUGAUACACCCCGGCUGAGCCGCUCUGCCUUUUGCUUCAGGUGCCCUUUGAUGCGGGUCGCGGAGUCCCAGGGAAAGGAGGAACUGCUCUGCUCCCUGGGUAUUUCCAUUGUUUCCUCAUGGUCCCUGGUGGUUGGUUAAGUUCCCAGCUGUGAUCUUAUUGUCUGAGUGAACCAGGAUAUAGUUCCCCCCCCCCUACGGUCGAGGCUGGAACCUUUGCAGAGCGAACCUGAUGGCUCUCAGCGAUAGGUUUAUGCCGUGAGCCUUUUCCUCCUUGCUCCAGAAGCCCUUGGUAGGCAUUACAAGGACUAAAGGAUUUGGAAGGCAGAGGAGCAUGCCUUUGUGGACCCUGUCAUGGACUGACCACUGUUAAAAGGAGUUGAACACCUGUGCUGGAACCCAUACUUGAUUUUUCAUGGGCUGUGGGGAGUCCUGUAUCUUUCAUAUGAAAGCUUUGAAGACAGCUGAUGCGUGCUUGUGCCCCUGGAGUGAUCCCUAUGCACACCACUAGGAGUCCUUGCAGUUGGAGGUAUAAUGCCGCCUCUGGCUCUGGAGCAAGAAAAUAAAUUCCUGGGUAAAACCAAACAACUUUUCUUGGCACGGAUGAUGAAGCCGUGCACAUGGAGGAGAUUCCACAUCCAAGUAGUAGCCUUGAGCACUGCUGACCGUGAUGGCGCUCUGAUCAGGAUGUUGUCCGGGAAGGGAUACAGUGAACUCCCGGAUAGCAUUGAUGUUACAUCCUCCUCUUCCAAUGACUCUGGAAAUUACUGUUGAUGGGACAGAAACCUUCUUUGAUCUAUACAGAAGAAAAAAGUAUUAAGUCAACUGGAGAAGUUUUGAUGAUCUGAAAUAAGGUGUGGAAGGCAACCCUCAAUAUGGAAAACUGCAAGAAAUCUCUGAGUGCAAACAUCUCCCACUAGCAGAAGGCAGGGAGAAGGUGUAACAAAUUAAAAAGAGGAUCUGAACUCAAGAUUCAUCAGAACAGCAUGAGAGAUAAUGACAUCAACAUCUCAAGUGGAAGCAGGGAGGUGUCCAUCCUUGCCUUGUCAUAAAACUCUUGCAGGAAGAACCCUGACCUCAGGUGUUAGUAGACAAGUAAAAACUAAUUUUCAAAUAAUUUGUUUUUAAACAUUUGUCAUUUUUAAAAUCAACUACAUAUUCUGUUAUUUCUAGUCUACUCCUGAGAAAUGCUGGAGACUCAACAAUUGCCACUGAUAGCUGUGGGUACCUCUGAUUUUUUUCCAUUGCUACCUUAGUUUUAAUUUAAUUCAAAAAGGGGAACUUUUAAAAGUCAUUUUAUCAGUUGACGUUAUAAAAGUGGUUCCAUUUUCAGUUGGUUCAAACUUAAGUAAUCAAGGUGAAAAACCGGUGACUUUCCAUUUGAUGAGACAAAGGUCAGACAUGGUGAGCCAAAUUAAUUUCUGGUGUAACUCAAGUGACACCAUCCCUGAGUCUUAGUAAGUCAAACAUUCCAUGGACAGACACCAUGAAGUCUCUGGGAUACACAUCAAACAUGUUUUAGUUUGCUGGGUAUUGUAUUGAGCCAAAUUAAUCUCCAGUAUUGUGGCAGCUUGAAUUCAGACUUUGCAACUUAAAUUGUACAGCAUUUUUGAAGUUUACCUAUUUGUACUACGUUCUCUAUUUACAAAUAAAAAUGGGUUCUUUUUACAUUAGUGGUUCAGUACUCUGAAAUUUAAUUUAUACAAACUUCAGAUUAAUCCUGAAAACCUUCCACACAUGCAA